GUUCAGUCAGCCCCUCUUCUUCUUCUUCUUCCGUCUUCAGCUCUGAGCUACAACAGCAGUAACUUUGACUUCUCUUCCAGCUAUGACAGGAUUCCUACAUCUACUGGUCAUUUGGGCAAGAGUGGAAAUAAACCCCAUCCAUCCAUCACUGGGUCAAAACAGACACGUGGGAGUGACAACACACACAAGGGCAAUUCAGAAUCACCAGUUAACCUAGCAUCCAUGUUUGUGAGCUGCAAGAAUACACUGGAACUUCUGGAGUAGAACUGCAUGUGCACAGUGUAGUGUUAUAGACUUUUUGCACAUUUCACGUGUCUGACAAAGCUUUUGCAGAAGACCUUCAUUGUCGCAUUAGAAUUAGAUGAAAUAAUUUUUUACCCCACAGAUGAUGUUCCUGAAACCUGCAAAAAUGUUGUUGUUUUUUUUACUAUUUUGGAUGCCUGUCAAUACAUAUUACAUAAUUAUGUUUAGAAGUAAAUAUCUAAUCCAGCAAACACUUUUCUGCUUUUCAAAUUAAUGUAUUUUAGGGUUUUGGUCCAUGUCAUAAAACCAUGAAUAAACUGUUUCCAGCCAGAAAGA